GACGAACGCUGGCGGCGUGCCUAAUACAUGCAAGUCGAACGCAGUGGGGACGGGUGAGUAACACGUGGGUAACCUCCCAUCAGAGGGGAUAACACUUGGAAACAGGUGCUAAACCGAUCCUGAUGGAUGACCCCGCGGUGCAGUAGCUAGUUGGUGAGGUAACGGCUCACCACGGCCACGAUUCAUCGCCGACCUGAGAGGGUGAUCGGCCACCUUGUGACUGAGACGCUGCCCAGGCUCCUACGGUAUGCAGCAGUAGGGAAUCUUCGGCAAUGGACGAAAGUCUGACCGAGCAACGCCGCGUGAGUGAAGAAGUUUUUCGGAUCGUAAAACUCUGUUGUUAGAGAAGCGGUAUCUAACCAGAAAGCCACGGCUAACUACGUGCCAGCAGCCGCGGUAAUUC
rnacentral:rRNA from 1 species